rnacentral:misc_RNA from 1 species
AAGUCGUAACAAGGUUUCCGUAGGUGAACCUGCGGAAGGAUCAUUAACACGUAUCCAACGUUAAAACAACCCCCGUGAACUUUCCUGGUAAAUCAUUGUUGACCAGCUUUUGAGUCAGGGACCUCUGCCGAUUGUGAUAUUUUAUAGCUACGGUUGAGCGAUUGCAUCUAGUGACCUGGCAUCCCCAAGUAAUCAGUGUCUGAAAGUGUCAUUGAUUAUGUAAGGAUGGCGCAGUCACGAUCGCUGUAGGCCCACACGGCCGGCGACCGGGUCACCGGGCUCUGCCCCUUUACGACAACACAGUACGAAUUGGCCGCGCGUGAAAUUCGCACGGCACCAAAAACCGAACAACUGUUAACAAUGGAUAUCUUGGUUCUC